rnacentral:rRNA from 1 species
GUGACUGCGUACCUUUUGUAUAAUGGGUCAGCGACUUAUAUUCUGUAGCAAGGUUAACCGAAUAGGGGAGCCGGAGGGAAACCGAGUCUUAAUUGGGCGUUAAGUUGCAGGGUAUAGACCCGAAACCCGGUGAUCUAGCCAUGGGCAGGUUGAAGGUUGGGUAACACUAACUGGAGGACCGAACCGACUAAUGUUGAAAAAUUAGCGGAUGACCUGUGGCUGGGGGUGAAAGGCCAAUCAAACCGGGAGAUAGCUGGUUCUCCCCGAAAGCUAUUUAGGUAGCGCCUCGUGAAUUCAUCUCCGGGGGUAGAGCACUGUUUCGGCUAGGGGGCCAUCCCGGCUUACCAACCCGAUGCAAACUGCGAAUACCGGAGAAUGUUAUCACGGGAGACACACGGCGGGUGCUAACGUCCGUCGUGAAGAGGGAAACAACCCAGACCGCCAGCUAAGGUCCCAAAGUCAUGGUUAAGUGGGAAACGAUGUGGGAAGGCCCAGACAGCCAGGAUGUUGGCUUAGAAGCAGCCAUCAUUUAAAGAAAGCGUAAUAGCUCACUGGUCGAGUCGGCCUGCGCGGAAGAUGUAACGGGGCUAAACCAUGCACCGAAGCUGCGGCAGCGACACUCAGGUGUUGUUGGGUAGGGGAGCGUUCUGUAAGCCUGUGAAGGUGGCCUGUGAGGGUUGCUGGAGGUAUCAGAAGUGCGAAUGCUGACAUAAGUAACGAUAAAGCGGGUGAAAAGCCCGCUCGCCGGAAGACCAAGGGUUCCUGUCCAACGUUAAUCGGGGCAGGGUGAGUCGACCCCUAAGGCGAGGCCGAAAGGCGUAGUCGAUGGGAAACGGGUUAAUAUUCCCGUACUUGGUGUUACUGCGAAGGGGGGACGGAGAAGGCUAUGUUGGCCGGGCGACGGUUGUCCCGGUUUAAGCGUGUAGGUGUGUGUUCCAGGUAAAUCCGGUUCACUUUAACACUGAGGCGUGAUGACGAGGCACUACGGUGCUGAAGCAACAAAUGCCCUGCUUCCAGGAAAAGCCUCUAAGCAUCAGGUAACAUCAAAUCGUACCCCAAACCGACACAGGUGGUCAGGUAGAGAAUACCAAGGCGCUUGA